UCGAAAUGAAUUCUUAUAUUUCACGUCUUUUUCGUCCAAAAAAGGACUUUCACGUUCCUAAUUUAGGAUUGCGUUGCUUGCAUAAAUAAGAUAAUAUAUGUAUUUCGAUGACAACAUUUAUAUGCAUACCUACCUAUAUAGUGGCAUCCGCGGAGAUGAGUAGACAUUACAUACAGGAUCUUUUUUCAAUUGUUAGCAAUAGGUAUUCUGCAAGUUGAAGAGCUUUUACUAUGGGAUUAGCCCCUAAAUCGUCCUAAAAAGUAUGAAACAGUAAUUUUUUCUCCGAUAUUUCGGGCUUGCUCACAUUGUAAAAGUUAUUUAGUAUCAUCGCCAAACAACAAAAAAAAAUCCUGUAUACAAAAUCUAUAAUAGGAUUGGAAGAGGUAUAUUUACCAUAAAUCUAUACUCGUAUUGUAUCUGUCUAUUCGUCAUUCUCAUGUUGAAAUGUACCGUAAGUCCUUGUUAUUAGAGUUGUUAAUAGAACAAACUGUCCGGUCUUUGUUAAUACGUUAUUUUAUGGAAUUUAAAAUGAGAGUUGACGCGUGAGUCGAUUUAGUUUAUGACAAAAUCUGAUUGAAUGCUUGAAUUUGUUUUCAGUAUGUAUUUUGUGAGAGUACAGGUUAAUUAAAUUGAGGUUGGAAAAUAGAUCAUACCUAAAGUUUAAGAAUUUAAUUUAAGAACGAAUUUUAUAAAUUGCUUUAUACGAAUUGAAAAAUUGAAAUGGUUCCUUUCAACCUCUACUUAAAUUGAAAACUGGAAUAAAUUGAAAUACAUCAAUGGUAUUUGGUUUUGGCAUUAUAUUUAAAACAAUGCGGGAAAUAAAUAACAAUCAUAUUCUACUCAAACCUGAAAUCGUAAUCUUAUUGAAUUCAAUUUACUCCAGUUAUUUAAACGUUCGAAUGACUCUCCAUGGGCCCCUUUAUAUAAUGACUACCUUAUUGUUAGUAAAAUGUUUAAGUAUACGUGAUAUAUACGUGUCAAAACUACACAUCACAUGUUUGUACAUGUGAAUUUGUAGUCCACUCUUUGGAUAAUUUGAAUAUGUAUUUUUAAACUUUUGACCGCCACAACUAUUUUAUAUAACACGCGAUAGUAACCUUUAUUAGAAUGUACUAAGGUUCAUAUUGUAUUGUAAUCUUUGUCGUCUAUGGCCGACUGUGGCGCUCAAAUGUUUAAACAAAAGUAUGGCCGUCUUCAAAUUUAUGUUGUGAUUUUAUUUAAGACUUGCAAUAAAUUGUUGUAAAUAGUAUUUUUAUGUUCGUAAAAGAUUAUUGUAGUUAAACUGGAAUAUAUUGAAUGUUACAUUUA